rnacentral:rRNA from 1 species
UGGGGGAUAUUGCACAAUGGAGGAAACUCUGAUGCAGCGACGCCGCGUGAGUGAAGAAGUAUUUCGGUAUGUAAAGCUCUAUCAGCAGGGAAGAAAGACCUCGAAAGAGGGGAUGACGGUACCUGAGUAAGAAGCCCCGGCUAACUACGUGCCAGCAGCCGCGGUAAUACGGAGGGUGCGAGCGUUAUCCGGAUUUAUUGGGUUUAAAGGGUGCGCAGGCGGCGCGAAAAGUCAGCGGUCAAAGUUCCGGGCUCAACCCGGUGACGCCGUUGAAACUUUCGUGCUGGAGUUCGUGCGAGGGAGGCGGAGUGCGUUGUGUAGCGGUGAAAUGCAUAGAUAUGACGCAGAACCCCGAUUGCGAAGGCAGCUUUCCAGCACGCGACUGACGCUGAGGCACGAAAGCGUGGGGGAGCGAACAGGGAUUAGAUACCCUGGGUAGU